CAUCUUUCAUUGACCGGCGUGAUCUAUGAGUCAACCCGACAUCUUGACAUUUUUUUGAAAUCUUAGAAAGAAGCAGAACAGAGAAACUGAAGCUGUCAUUACGUGUUGUAACUUCCAGCCGUGGCUUCAGGCUCUAUAUUAAGCUGACUGUUGAGUUGUUUGUGUCUUGACACAAUGCACGCCAAUGAUAAAGUCGCCUGGUUUUGUUUUUAACACCACUAUCAACAGCAGUGGAGGAGGAGAGGACACUAUUCCCCCGGUUUGGAAGAUAAGAUGAUGACCUCUGUCACCCUAAGACACACGGUGGGGAGGUUUGAGAAAAUCCAGGUUGGACUUGAAGUGUCUCUCGGCCUGGUCUAGCCAGCUUUUUGGAGACCUGCAGAUGAUGUCCUGGGUGAAUCUCGCCACCCCUUUGUCUGGGAUGGUCACAA